UAGGGAAUCUUCCGCAAUGGGCGAAAGCCUGACGGAGCAACGCCGCGUGAGUGAUGAAGGUCUUCGGAUCGUAAAACUCUGUUAUUAGGGAAGAACAAAUGUGUAAGUAACUGUGCACGUCUUGACGGUACCUAAACAGAAAGCCACGGCUAACUACGUGCCAGCAGCCGCGGUAAUACGUAGGUGGCAAGCGUUAUCCGGAAUUAUUGGGCGUAAAGCGCGCGUAGGCGGUUUCUUAAGUCUGAUGUGAAAGCCCACGGCUCAACCGUGGAGGGUCAUUGGAAACUGGGAAACUUGAGUGCAGAAGAGGAAAGUGGAAUUCCAUGUGUAGCGGUGAAAUGCGCAGAGAUAUGGAGGAACACCAGUGGCGAAGGCGACUUUCUGGUCUGUAACUGACGCUGAUGUGCGAAAGCGUGGGGAUCAAACAGG
rnacentral:rRNA from 1 species